UGGGGAAUAUUGCACAAUGGGCGCAAGCCUGAUGCAGCAACGCCGCGUGAGGGACGACGGCCUUCGGGUUGUAAACCUCUUUUAGUAGGGAAGAAGCGAUAGUGACGGUACCUGCAGAAAAAGCACCGGCUAACUACGUGCCAGCAGCCGCGGUAAUACGUAGGGUGCGAGCGUUGUCCGGAAUUAUUGGGCGUAAAGAGCUCGUAGGCGGUCUGUCGCGUCUGCUGUGAAAACCCGAGGCUCAACCUCGGGCCUGCAGUGGGUACGGGCAGACUAGAGUGCGGUAGGGGAGAAUGGAAUUCCUGGUGUAGCGGUGGAAUGCGCAGAUAUCAGGAGGAACACCGAUGGCGAAGGCAGUUCUCUGGGCCGUAACUGACGCUGAGGAGCGAAAGCGUGGGGAGCGAACAGGAUUAGAUACCCUGGUAGUCCACGCCGUAAACGUUGGGCGCUAGAUGUGGGGACCAUUCCACGGUUUCCGUGUCGCAGCUAACGCAUUAAGCGCCCCGCCUGGGGAGUACGGCCGCAAGGCUAAAACUCAAAGGAAUUGACGGGGUCCAUAGCUGUUUCCU
rnacentral:rRNA from 1 species